CAAGGAAACAAAGUUGAUUCAACCAGUCUUUGCCCAGUGGCUUACAUUGCGGCAAUAGUGAUUCAUAAGGUUUAGUUGAAAAGUUCCAAUGUCUUACAAGCCAAACAAUCAGAGGCCCUCUGAAUUACAGACCUGAAUCUUUGAGUUUAUGAUCCAAGUUCUAAGGAAUUUUAUGAUUGUUUUGUUUUGAGGAUGUGAGGAAGUUUCAGCAGGCCUACGACAUCCUGGUGAACUUCAUUAAUGAGCCAACAAACAGGGAGCGACUAGAGCUGGAGAUGGCUCUUGUAGGAAUCAACCACAUCAAUUUCACGGAUGUAUUUUAUGAAUUUGUUCUACUGAGCCUUCUUGAAGGAAAAACAUCUCUUCCAACAUCUAGGCCUGGUAGCUUCUUUUAUCUGCUCAUAGAAGUGAUGAUGAGGAUUCGCCCUCCUGGAGGAGCCUGGACAGAGUCUGCUGGGAGCUUCUACUUCCUCAUUAAGGAUCAGAUGAAGGCGUGGUUGGACUCCAUCUUCAACCUCGAUGAGUCCAUCUAUGAAAGCCCACAGAGGCUCUCGUGGCAGGUGAUGGAGAUUCUAGAAAUGCAGGUUGACUUCCUCCUGUCCAGCCUGGAUUAAGGGUCCCAAACUGAGCUGAGGAUCCUAAACACAAAAUAAAGUAUUUUGCA
ensembl:lncRNA